rnacentral:rRNA from 1 species
AUGGGGCGCAUGCACAGCCGCGGGAAGGGCAUCUCGUCGUCAGCGCUGCCGUACAAGAGGACUCCACCAAGCUGGGUCAAGACCGCCGUCGCCGAUGUGGACGAGUUAAUCACCAAGGCCGCGAAGAAGGGCCAGAUGCCGUCGCAGAUCGGCGUCCUGCUCCGUGACCAGCACGGCAUCCCCCUCGUCAAGAGCGUCACCGGGAGCAAGAUCCUCCGCAUCCUCAAGGCCCAUGGGCUGGCGCCAGAGAUCCCGGAGGAUCUCUACUUUCUGAUCAAGAAGGCGGUGGCGAUAAGGAAGCACCUGGAGAGGAACAGGAAGGACAAGGACUCUAAGUUCAGGCUCAUCCUUGUGGAGAGCAGGAUCCACCGCCUCGCUCGCUACUACAAGCGCACCAAGAAGCUCCCGCCCACCUGGAAGUACGAGUCUACCACCGCCAGCACUCUGGUGGCUUAA